GAUGAACGCUAGCGGCAGGCCUAAUACAUGCAAGUCGAACGGGAUCCAGAUCAAAGCUUGCUUUGGUCUGGUGAGAGUGGCGCACGGGUGCGUAACGCGUGAGCAACCUACCCUUGUCAGGGGGAUAGCCCGGCGAAAGUCGGAUUAAUACCGCAUGACAUCAUUGAGAGGCAUCUUUCGAUGAUCAAAGAUUUAUCGGACAAGGAUGGGCUCGCGUGACAUUAGCUAGUUGGUAAGGUAACGGCUUACCAAGGCUGCGAUGUCUAGGGGCUCUGAGAGGAGAAUCCCCCACACUGGUACUGAGGCACGGACCAGACUCCUACGGGAGGCAGCAGUAAGGAAUAUUGGUCAAGGGACGGAAGUCUGAACCAGCCAUGCCGCGUGCAGGAGGACGGCCCUAUUGGUUGUAAACUGCUUUUAUACGGGAACAAACGUCGGUACGUGUACCGGUCUGAGUGUACCGUAAGAAUAAGGAUCGGCUAACUCCGUG
rnacentral:rRNA from 1 species